GCCAAGCUGUGUCGGGACUCUGGAAACAGAGUCAUGAGUUUCCUUAUUAUCUUUUUAGCAUUGAACCAGAUAUUGCACAUCUGAAGCAGUGCCAAGUCCCAUGAGAUCAAUGAAACUUUUCACCUUAACCAGAAAGCAGGAUAUCAGUUUGUUUUCAUGGGUUAAUCUUUGUGAUCAUGAGCAAAGCAAUCAUCUGUGGCAGGCAAAGAUUUCCAGUCAGCCGGCUUGACAUUUUUCUAUGAAAUGACUAUGAAAUGAUACAGCUAAAGGGCAGUAUGCCAAGGAAUGACCAAUUCAAGCAUGGCAAAUAUUGACUGAAACAGAAUAUUUCAGAGUAUGAGGGGCUCACUUGGAUUUUUCCAUAAGCACCUCAAACAUAAUCAGCAUUUGCAUUCUCAGAAUUUCCACCUGCUUUACAGCCAUGCCUUCACACCCAGCAGCAAGAGAAGCUCAUCACACUGUCUGCUCUGUAGGUAAAUAAUUGAAAAAAUGGA